rnacentral:precursor_RNA from 1 species
UAGGGUUAGAAACUUGGCUCUGCACGGGAUCUGAUUACUUUUUGACAGUGCGAGCUAUAUGGUCUCGUCUUGGCA